rnacentral:rRNA from 1 species
UCCCCUAGUAACGGCGAGUGAACCGGGAAGAGCUCAAAUUUGAAAUCUGGCGUCCUCAGGGCGUCCGAGUUGUAAUCUAUAGAGGCGUUUUCCGCGCCGGACCGUGUAUAAGUCUCCUGGAACGGAGUAUCAAAGAGGGUGACAAUCCCGUGCUUUACACGACGACCGGUGCUAUGUGAUACGUCUUCUACGAGUCGAGUUGUUUGGGAAUGCAGCUCAAAACGGGUGGUAAACUCCAUCUAAAGCUAAAUAUUGGUGGGAGACCGAUAGCGAACAAGUACCGUGAGGGAAAGAUGAAAAGCACUUUGGAAAGAGAGUUAAACAGUAUGUGAAAUUGUUGAAAGGGAAACGAUUGAAGUCAGUCGUGUCCAUUGGGUUCAGCCGGUCCUGCCGGUCUACUCCCUUUGGACGGGUCAACAUCAGUUCUGACCGGUGGAUAAUGGCACGAGGAACGUAGCACCCUCCGGGGUGUGUUAUAGCCUCGCGUCGCAUACACUGGUCGGGACUGAGGAACGCAGCUCGCCCUCACGGGCCGGGGUUCGCCCACGUCCGAGCUUAGGAUGUUGACAUAAUGGCUUUAAACGACCCGUCUUGAAACACGGACCAAGGAGUCUAACAUAUCUGCGAGUGUUUGGGUGUCAAACCCGAGCGCGUAAUGAAAGUGAACGUAGGGAUGCGCAAGCAGCACCUUC